rnacentral:rRNA from 1 species
AGCAGCCGCGGUAAUUCCAGCUCCAAUAGCGUAUAUUAAAGUUGUUGCAGUUAAAAAGCUCGUAGUUGAACUUCGGGACCGGUGGGUUGGUCGUGCCUCCGGUACGUACUGGUCUUACUGGUUCCUCCCUUCUGAAGAACCACGAUGUCAUUAAUUUGGUGUCGUGGGGAAUCAGGACUGUUACUUUGAAAAAAUUAGAGUGUUUAAAGCAGGCUAAAGCUUGAAUAGAUUAGCAUGGAAUAACGAAAUAGGACGUUUGAUCUUAUUUUGUUGGUUUCUAAGAUCGACGUAAUGAUUAAUAGGGAUAGUUGGGG